rnacentral:rRNA from 1 species
AUUGAACGCUAGCGGGAUGCCUUACACAUGCAAGUCGAACGGAGUGGCGAACGGGUGAGUAAUGUCUCGGAACGUGCCCAGUAGUGGGGGAUAACUACGCGAAAGCGUAGCUAAUACCGCAUACUAUUGGAGCGGCCUAGGUCGGAUUAGCUAGUUGGGGGGGUAACGGCUUACCAAGGCGACGAUCCGUAGCUGGUUUGAGAGGAUGACCAGCCACACUGGGACUGAGACACGGCCCAGACUCCUACGGGAGGCAGCAGUGGGGAAUUUUGGACAAUGGGGGAAACCCUGAUCCAGCCAUCCCGCGUGUGCGAAGAAGGCCUUCGGGUUGUAAAGCACUUUUGGCAGGGAAGCGGUACCUACAGAAUAAGCACCGGCUAACUACGUGCCAGCAGCCGCGGUAAUAC